ensembl:lncRNA
GUGGAAGUCACUGGGGGACACUGGGAUAGCAGACUGCAGCUUCUUUCAGUUUCUCACACACAUUGUGGGGAAAAGUGGGAAAUGUGUUUUGGCAAAGUUACAGUAACAGUAAGUCAAUCUGGGUUGGGGAGGAAAGGGCCCAGAACUGCAAGAGGACACCAUUCAAUAGCUAAUGAGAAAGUUUUAUUCUGAAUAUACUGUAUUUGCACAUGAAUAAGCAUUUUCCAGGAUUAUAAACAUGACUAUUUUCUUUCUUUUGUCCGAGAAUAAUAACAGUAUCGUACAAAUUUAUACAUGACUGAUUCAGGUGAAUCAAGUUCCACAAAAGUGUAACAUCAAGGGAGAUUGACGCGGAGGCUCACCAAUAGCCUGUCAAAAGGGAGGCUGACAAGGGGAGAUUAGUGGACAUGUCCACCAAUGGUCUGCCAUGAAAACGCUGGCAGAGAAAGAUUGGGGGGCGGUCCCACCAAUAGCCUGACAUAGUGUGGCAGGCAUGGAACACUCCCCUUAAAACACACUGAGAGUUCAUGAUAACAGAAAAGUGUCCAGAAAAAGCAUAACCCACACAAUCCACACAGAGAGCACCACAGCAUCAAAAAACACUUCCAAUCACUCUGAUAAUAUGUUAUUCCUGAGGUGACAGCAUCUGAUUUUAGCCCUUAGAGUGGCAUGAAAUAACCAGACACCAUUUCCCAAGGGUCUAGUCUGGUCUUGAAUGUGACAACCUGUGACAGAGGAAAAGAUAUGUAUUGUCACAUACACCAGAGAGGUGCAGUGAAUUGUGUUGUUUUACAGGGUCAGCCAUAGUAGUACAGCGCCCCUGGAGCAAAUUAGAAGUUAAGUGCCUUGCUCAAGGGCAAAUUGACCGCUUUUUCACCUUGUCGGCUCGUGCAUUCGAUCCAGUGACAUCUCGGUUACUGGCCCAACGCUCUAACCGCUAGGCCACUGCGCUCACUCAGAUCAGGGCCAUACCAAAUGCUGUCUCCUCAAGAGAAAGGCAGUAGAAGCUGUAUCGUUAUCAUAUCAUAAACAAACACCCAACAAACCCACGGUAUUAUGCUUCCCAUCCCAACAAUACACACCAAAGCAGGAGAAGAUAGAGGGUACUUUAUCUCAUUGCCUGCCACUGAUACAGUAUCAUGGCAUUAUCAUGCAACACAGGGGAAAUAGAUGAGAUUUGCACUUAUUCAAUCCUAAACGUUGCAUAAACGUUAGUAAUAGGUUUCCCGGUAAACAGAGAAAGAGAGUCAAUUCAGUGCCAGGAACUCCUCUAUAUUUGCUCUACAACAGAUCAGUAACACUAAAUCGACCAUCAGAUCACGUCCCAGUCGAACAAGCUGAAUUGCACCACAAAGAAAAAAGCACAGCAUAUCUACCAUGUCCCUCUUUUGAACCAUGUUCAACAAUUAAACGAAUACAAUCAAUUUAGAGAGGAAUUGUUGAUAUUCUGACAUGAUAAUAAAACCGCGUUUUAUUAAAACCGUUUUUCCACAACGUUGAAUAAAGAAACUUAACCUUAUGUCUCUUUCACUCAAAGUUAUUCCACUGCAUAAUCAUUUGGCUAUGAUGAUUGACGGAUCCAGAUUUAGUCCUGAAUAAAAUGAGGCACAUUUCUGUUAUUUCUCAUGUAGUAUGUUGGUAGCUGUUCUUGUGGGGAAAUGAGUUAACAGGUGUAUACCAUAGUAUAGUCAGAAAGACACUCAGAAAGACAGUAUCCUAUUGUCAAUCUGUCUUGAAUCUCUAAUUCAUAAAGUUAUUAAAGUACCAGAACCACAAGGCACACAAAAACGAAGAAAGUACAACAGGACUGAUAUCCACACUGAUAUGAAUGAAUUUAGAUUGACGUGUAUUGAUAGACAUUUCCAAUAGGUCUUAAAGCAAUUUACGUUUUAGGGGGGAAAUUCACUUUGCAACGAGGUGCAAUUGUUUUUGAUUUGGGGAAAUGUUCUCUUCAAUAGCGAGCAGAACAUUGUGAGAAAGACAGAUCCUUGUAGUUGCAAGUCACGUAUUCAACGAUACUCAAAUCAAGAAGUGAUACAUGAGCAAGCACAAAUAAACUGUCAUGUACCAAGUCUACAUUUCCUACAUCCCCCCCUACUCUUUCUCUUCAUUUUAUAUCCAUUGCAUUGACGCAUUGAAAUCAAUCAAAAAGUAAUGGCAUUAAAGUCAACAUUACACACUAGCAUGCAGCUAUGCCCUUCAUUCUAAUAAAAAACAAAAACAAACUUAAAUAUUCAAAUAAAUACCAAACACAUCAAGUUUCCUUCAGGUCAGUAGCCACACAGUCAAAUAAAUAAAGCUAAAGGGUUUGCCUGAUUAAGAAUCAACAUGGCACUAGAGAUUAGACCAAUGAGCGCACUAGAGGCCAGCCGGGGUGCCCUGAUUGGUCAAUUGCACUUUGACAAUGAUGGUUAGUUCAGAGGGACCAGAUAACAAGAUGGUAGGACCCGACAUUGACCAUUUGUGGUCAAGGUUGAGGGAGAAGUGGUUGACCGCAAACAGAAAGGGAUCCAUCACUUCAAACAGGGGACAGUGAGUGGGGGCAAAAGGGUUCACAUGUGACCACAUGUAUGUGAAUGAAUAUGAUCGUUGUACGCCACAUCUAUACAAGGACAGCAGCGUGAAUGUAAAUGUGUUGCUACUUUUAAAUGGGGUUGAAACGAACAGAAUAAUGCCAACAGCACCCCAGUGUAAAAUAAAAAACAUUCUGAUUUCUGACUUCCUAUUAAACAACUUAUUGCAACUUGAACAAAACAAACACACAUUUCAAUACUGAGUAACAAGCCACUGCAAAACGUUUAGACAUAAAUAAAUAACGUUGUGACAAACACAACGGGACUGUUGUGAAGGGCAGCACUGUUUCUGGCAGUGUUGAAUAAAAAUCAACGGGGAUCUCUUUUAGAACAUCACAAAAACCCCAAAACCUAAAAGGAACCCAAAAGGAAGAGGCAGUCCUUUCACUUUCCCCCUGGCACUGUAAGGCAGUCCAACCUGUAGCAUUCGCAGGGUUGUCAUCGUCGAGCCAAACAAAGGUCAAAGUUCACCACUCAAUCACCUCGAUCUCCCUAAGCUUAGAUGGCUGGAAGCUUAGAUGGCUGGAGGGGAAAAGUCAGGGGUCAGGGAUGAAAGUUCCCACUUAUAAUUUUUUUUACAUCCCGCCGAUGUUAACUUUCCUCACUUUCUCCCACCCCUGGGUGAAGAAAUGUAACAAAACCCUUGAAAAACGCAAAUAUCCCAAAAGAAGAUCUGUCAGGAAGUGGUUUCAGAUGUUUUUUUGUUUUAGCGUUCGGCGUUUUGAGGCGGCGUUGCAUGCCGGUUGCCGGGGGCAACCGAGGUCUUCAGAGGUCACGAGGGGACGGCGUGGUGAGUUGAGCCGGCCAGGAGCCAGAGCAGGGCCAGCUGCAGCGCCACCAUGGCCAACAGGGAUGGGCUCAGAGCGGACGCUCCACCACAGUCAAAGUCCUCCUCCUGUGACCACGGCAACAAGAGGGGAGGAGGAAGGUGACAGGGAGGAAGGUGGCAGGGGGACAAGUUAGUGACAGACACAACCCUGCUGACUAAAAGAUAAUUGGUUCAGUAGGGGUACAACAGCCCAGUGUGUCUUACAUAUUCAUAAAGCUAUGUUUGAUGACAUAAUAGCAAGGUAUAAUGGUACUA